GCACAAGCGGUGGAGCAUGUGGUUUAAUUCGAAGCAACGCGAAGAACCUUACCAAAUCUUGACAUCCUUUGACCCUUCUAGAGAUAGAAGUUUCCCCUUCGGGGGACAAAGUGACAGGUGGUGCAUGGUUGUCGUCAGCUCGUGUCGUGAGAUGUUGGGUUAAGUCCCGCAACGAGCGCAACCCUUAAGCUUAGUUGCCAUCAUUAAGUUGGGCACUCUAAGUUGACUGCCGGUGACAAACCGGAGGAAGGUGGGGACGACGUCAAAUCAUCAUGCCCCUUAUGAUUUGGGCUACACACGUGCUACAAUGGACAAUACAAAGGGCAGCGAAACCGCGAGGUCAAGCAAAUCCCAUAAAGUUGUUCUCAGUUCGGAUUGUAGUCUGCAACUCGACUACAUGAAGCUGGAAUCGCUAGUAAUCGUAGAUCAGCAUGCUACGGUGAAUACGUUCCCGGGC
rnacentral:rRNA from 1 species